ensembl:lncRNA
UUCCUCUCUCUGCCAAAAGACUCAAUUGGGCUGGCGGCGGAAGAGGAGAGGAAAAUAAAUUGUCAUGACGCCUCCCUUGACCCCCCCCCCACACACACCCACCCACACCCCACACACACACUUGAAGGUCACCUACCUGCAGCAAUUACUGAGUGGCCCCUGGUCCUUGGCCUUAUUCCCCAGAGGGUGGUUACUAGUAGGGAGCUGGGGGGCUAUAGAGCUGGAGGCUGGCUAAGAUGAAGGAAGAGAGACUAUGGCUGGGAGGCUGAAAACAUAAUGGCUGGCUGGGAGACUGGGAGGCUGAAAACACAAUGGCUGGCUGAGAGACUGGGAGGCUGAAAACAUAAUGGCUGGCUGGGAGACUGGGAGGCUGAAAACACAAUGGCUGGCUGGGAGACUGGGAGGCUGAAAACACAAUGGCUGGCUGGGAGGCUGGGAGGCUGAAAACAUAAUGACUGGCUGGGAGACUGGGAGGCUGAAAACAUAA